rnacentral:rRNA from 1 species
ACGUAGGGCGCAAGCGUUGUCCGGAAUUAUUGGGCGUAAAAGAGCUCGUAGGCGGUUUGUCGCGUCUGCUGUGAAAAGCCCGGGGCUCAACCCCGGGUCUGCAGUGGGUACGGGCAGACUAGAGUGCAGUAGGGGGAGACUGGAAUUCCUGGUGUAGCGGUGAAAUGCGCAGAUAUCAGGAGGAACACCGAUGGCGAAGGCAGGUCUCUGGGCUGUUACGCGUGAGGAGCGAAAGCAUGGGGAGCGAACAGGAUUAGAUACCCCGGUAGUC